rnacentral:rRNA from 1 species
UACGUAGGGUGCAAGCGUUAAUCGGAAUUACUGGGCGUAAAGCGUGCGCAGGCGGUUUUGUAAGUCUGUCGUGAAAUCCCCGGGCUCAACCUGGGAAUUGCGAUGAAGACUGCAAGGCUUGAAUCUGGCAGAGGGGGGUAGAAUUCCACGUGUAGCAGUGAAAUGCGUAGAGAUGUGGAGGAACACCGAUGGCGAAGGCAAUCCCCUGGACCUGUACUGACGCUCAUGCACGAAAGCGUGGGGAGCAAACAGG